AUAUGUAUAUAUAUACAUAUAUAUAUAUAUAUGAGAUCCAUUUUUACAAGGAGGUUUUAAAAGGCCUAUUUUUUUUUCCGCCCCAUCUUUUUGCGCAAAGCCAGAUUCCGCUCUCGUCUCACCCAGCCAACGUAUGCACAUAUUUGGAAGAACGCGUCGAUAAGCCAUCGUCCGAACACGCAGUUCCUGUCGUCGUUUUCUGACUGUUGAUCCGCCGUGUACAGAUUUUUUCCGUGCCAAAUUUUAGGCGACGAUUUCAUCUGCCCUCCCACCCCUCACCCAGAUCAGACCAGAUCACGCUGUCAGGAUCCUCUUCUUAUCCUUUGAGUUCAACGCCAUCGUUUUGCUGUGACGUUACAUAGAUUGCUAUGUAUGUAGUAUAAAUGUUGCUAUAACAAAUGUGUUUGGUAGCAAAUUGUCAAAUAUUACAAAUUUAAACCUAAUUAAAAAAAAAAAAAUGAUGGGCAUCAUACUGUAUAAAACCCACACGGGCCAAAUUCUGUAUAUUAGGAGGUUCAUAAAAAAACUAUCAAAUACAAAAAAAAUACACAAAACUGCCACUUUUAAGGACACUACUACAUAUAGGUAGGUAGGAAAAAAAAUAGGCAUGUUGAUGUUGCAAGAGGCUGUAAAAUAUUAACGAGAAAAAAAAAAAAAGCUCCAUCCACUCGGUGCCAUUGUAGUUGACAUGACGCGACUGUAAUAAUCUGUCGAUUUCUUCUCUGGUUUAUUAAGAUGCUAAUGAUAAAUAGUUUGAAUGUUUCCUUAACGGCUGUGAUGUUCCUGUUCUCUUUUCUGCUCUUUUCUUUUCUCUGUUUGUCUGUUUCUUUCUUUCUUGCUUUCUUUCUUUCUUUCUUCCUGUCCUUUUCAAAUGGUUUGGCGAAACCAUGAUUUUUGUAAUGAAUCAAUGUUAAUGCUGUACAGUCUCUGUAGCAUGCGGUUCUGUAUUAAUAAAAGCAACUUAGUAUGUGCACGCCUGCGUCGUCCUUUUGCUCCAGAGGGAAAAUGUUAUAAAAACAUUUUGUAUUGAUAAUAAAGCACAAAUAAAUAAAUAAAGGAAACUGCAAGAUUUGUGGUAACGUGCAACAUCAAUCAUUAUCGUCAUCUGCAACACACGAGUUGAUCUUUUUUUUUUAGGCUGGUAAUUGCUAGUUUGUUUUCUUCUAAGAAGAGUGCAACAUGAAAAGUUUGUCUUUUACUCCGUAGAUUUACAGUCUGUGAUGUGAGCGAAGCUGCGGUAAUAUUAAGCCACCCUUGCCGGGGACAAAGAUUAAAUGCCUGCCAUGCCAGCAAAUCACCCUCAUCCACGUGCUCGCCGGCUGACUGACGAGCGGCUGGUGUGUCACCUUGGCGCCACAAGCGCCCUCCUCCCUAAUGAUGGCGCUGUGCCGCGCAGGCGGCUAACUAGCCUCAGAGUGGAGCGAGCCCCCAGGCUAGUGCCACAUCUUUCCAUCAAGGAAAGAAGACGCCGUUGUCGGCCUUAACCAGUCACAUGACCGCACAUGGGAUGACGCAACUACAAAACUCCCGAGCCGAGCGUUGGCAUCACAAGUGAAGUGUUUGACGUUGGGCGAGGGGAUGAAUCAGAGAGGAGCCCGAGACCGUUUCUCCCAAAAUAUCCUGAAGGAGAAGUGAACAAAGGAGCCCACCUGCCGGGAGGGAGCACGAGCGCAACGCAGGAGGGCAACCAG